rnacentral:rRNA from 1 species
UACGUAGGGGGCAAGCGUUGUCCGGAAUCAUUGGGCGUAAAGCGCGCGUAGGCGGCCCGGUAAGUCCGCUGUAAAAGUCCAGGGCUCAACCCUGGAAAGCCGGUGGAUACUGUCGGGCUAGAGUCCGGAAGAGGCGAGUGGAAUUCCUGGUGUAGCGGUGGAAUGCGCAGAUAUCAGGAGGAACACCGAUGGCGAAGGCAGCUCGCUGGGACGGCACUGACGCUGAGGCGCGAAAGCGUGGGGAGCGAACAGG